CGCGUCAACUGGUCGGGGCGGCGAAUAAUAGGGGAGUCAGGACGCCGAGUGUAAGUGGAGAGAGAGUUGCGGCCAGCGGCGGAUCUACACAGUGGACUGAACGGUGGCAGGAGGUGAGAGCAGAGUCUAAACUGGGGUUUCAGUUCGCCGUCCGUCGUCGUCGUCCAAGGGCACAGCGGUACUCGACCUACCCCUUCGCCCCCAACCCACCCCUCUCGGGCGUGACCGCCUCUUCUGCCUGCUCCUGACCGCCGGAGCCUCGAUGACCGCCGGGGCCUCCAUGGAGCGGCGGCGCAGGUCAAGCUGGGACGGAGGACGUUCGUACCGCUGAAGAAGCUGUGGCAGACCCGCCCGGUGCUGGAUUGGUGCGGGUUAGAGAAGUCGUUACAUCUACAGCUGUCAUCAACCUACAUGUUUCUCUCUGCUCCCUUCAACUAGUCACUACGAACCGUUGUACCUCAUCUAUUAAAAGAUCUAGUACGUAAGAGUAACGGGCUACGACGACGUCUGCCCUUUAGGGCAACAGGAACGUCGUUCACGAAAACGCCAGUAUUCACGUGUUCCCUACAGUACUGGUGUGUGAACACGUCGUUACCCAAGUACAAUCCUAUACUCUCUACCUGAUCGGUGCCCCUCAGACUACGUGGACUUUUACAUCUCGUACUAUUGCACCCCCUACCUCUAUCUUACUUACUGUACGAUCAACUACGUUAACAACGACUUCCUCAAAGAUUUCCACUACUCGGUUGUUUUCGACGAUUUUUUAAGAUACUUUACAACUACCUUCGGCUGUUUGGAAACGUACUCUUCUGGUGUGUUAGUGCAGAUAGGUAACAUCCUUCCGAUUACUGAUAAUUUUGUGUUGUAUUAGACAGUCUUCGAACAAUGUNNNNNNNNNNNNNNNNNNNNNNNNNNNNNNNNNNNNNNCUACGACGUUUUCUAGAGGGUCGUUUGAAGGUAUCCAGGUUCUUCGAACACGUAUCAGAUCGUUACGGAAUGCAGUUUUAAGUACGUACGGGGUUAUUAACAUACUAAAUAAUAUUCCUCUUACUUUUAUUUCUUUUUACGUGAUAGACGUUUCUUGGAUCUAUACUAGUACAAGCGUGUUAUACCUUCUUCUUAGGAGCUAUAUUAUUACCUCCUUGUGCGCAUGUCUUACUACCAACGUGGAAUCUACAUAAAGUCGUACAACCUUUGGAUGUACCCUCCGGAUAACGGGCUCUUGAUAGCGCACUUCUCAACUUACGUCGUUCCGACAUGUAAAACUGAUUGACGAGACGACAACUAUCUAAAGCACUUUGUAUACUUCUACUUUUUAUACGUUCAGUAGGUUUGAACGGUAGCCUCCCGGAACUACUUUACUACCGUAGGCUUAAACACCUUACCAAGCUCUAACGAACGUUUCUUCUAGGGUUAAGACUACUCCUGAACACCUUAAAUCGAUUACCUACGUCGAGAUCUCGGAUAAGGAUAUCGAGGAUACUACACUUACCGAAAGCGAAAUCUAGUCUCUAUAGACUCUUUUUUGCAUCUUCCAACUUUUGCCACUUGUGUCCCCAAACAAACAGUAGGAAGUAGAGUCUCUGACUUGUUGAACUCAUGAUACCACAGUAACUCCUUUAAUAGUUUCAUAGGAAGUGUCGACCAUCUUUUUAACUCUACCAUGAGAAGUUUACGGCAACCAAACUGGGGUAGUUCCCACACUUCGGUUUACGUUUUAAUCCAAACCACCUCUAUUUCACCAGAAGUUCCGAUUCAUUAAAACUUGGUAAACGGUACCGAGUGGUUCGAUGCGUUCGAAUAAUGAACGUAAUGCGUAGGAGGUCCUCUCUAGAAGCACUAACCUCCCAACAAAUGUGAUAAGUCGGUUCAUGGUCGAACUCAUUGAAACUACUGACGCGUUUACUGGGUAGAUGAUGUCUACUUAUAAAGGUCCUUCCACCAGUCGACCCAUCAAAAAGACAUCUACCACCGUUUAAACAACUACUUAGAUGACUCGGUUCUUUCCUCAGCCUACUACACCUCGAACUAGGGAGACUUUAAAUACAUUAUCUUUUAGUUCCGUUAUUAAUACUCCCUCUUCUUAGAAGUCUUCUACUUAACCUGCUCUCAUGACUACUCCUUCUUCUUCUAAAUGGACUUCUCCUUCCUGUUCUUCUCUGUAUACUCUGGCUUCUACUCCUACUACGUUAUCUCGUACUGAGACUUAUACUGCUACUACUAAUGACUUGUAAAUAUCGAAAACGUGAACAGUAAAAGACAGAACCAUGGUUAUUUAUAAUAUAUCACCGUGUUGAUCACUUAUUAUAUCAUACAAAUGAUAACCAUCAUUAUGUAUAAUGUAUCACUAAAUCACUGUGUUGAUAACUUAUUAUAUAAUACAAACUAUCAUAAAGAUCAAAUCAACAAUGUAUUACAAAAGACAACAAGAGAAGAAGAUGAUAGUACGGAAACCAUUAGUAGAUGAUUAAAAAAAAUACACCGAUUAUUCUUACGUAAACAGUGAUACAUUUAUCCUACUGGGCGAACGUAGUAUCCGCACAGAGUUACCGAUCCAGCUUGUCCAGAAGAAGAUCACGGAGGCAUCCUUUGUUACCUAGUUGAGUCAGUUGACAUGUCCGAUUUUUCGGAUCUUGUGGUUCUUGAUCCUGAAGUCGGCCAGAGUCUGAUCUCCUUUAACUGGCUGGCGAAUAUCAAGGGCAACCGUACCGUACCCUUUCCGUGGGUAUGUCGCGAGCACUAGGUAGUUGCCACGAUCCACGGAAUCACGCGGUCUACAUAGGUGGCGGUUAACCAGGUUUUUUACUAGUCUUUGGCCAUAACACAACCCUCCUGAUGUUCACCAGGGGACCAGGUCUUCAUUCUUGUCGUCGAAGGUUUUAUCACCUUCUUAAAACCACCGUAAAGUUCACACUGGGUAGCCUCGUUCUCUUCCGUCUACCACAAAACCUCCUCUUGAAUUGAUCCUUUCACUUCGUCUACGAUGUACUCCUUUUCCGCCGUCGGUAGUUUUUAAUUUCUUCUUCCCUGUUAACGGAUGUCUUGAUUGUCUUCUCCUACUCCUACCAUUGGUGACCGGUUGAUUCCUUCGAAAUUAAAGACGUUUCUCUCAACUGAAACCAUGUCUGCAACCAACCGCAGAUGAUACACUCGUGACCUCAUCAUGACUUAAAUCUCCCAAUAGAAAUUGGUUGUUUUCCUUGUAUGAACGAUUACCCCUGUGCCAGAAGGUAACGUCACCACGAUCUUUACAACAGCGGUGUGCAGUUAAAGACUUUGAGUUUUGGCCCUUUCUGGGACCUUAAAGACCACGAACCGAAGUGUGCGUGUUUAACGUAGCUCCCUGACUACUUCUCGUCUAUACGUCAGUUUCUUGACGACUAGUAACCCUCCUAAAACUAUUCCGUUACUUUUUACGGGUACCUCUUUUAACCCUUCUCCUCGUGGGCCUAAAUCUACCUGUUUAGUAGAUGCUUCGUCGUCUGUCUUACGGUGUACCGUCCGACCCUUAACGAUUACUCAACAAAUCGUUUCGUCUCUUCCGCUUCAAAUUCAGAUUUUCCCGCUACCGGAGUGUCGGCCACGUUAGACGAUUCCUCCUCACAGAUCUUUCUCUGUUUUUUAUAAACUUCGUCCUCUAGUUCGCAGAAGCUCCGUAACUCGAACAACAAGUCAGAAACCGACUCUUUCCCCCUCAGCUGAAACUACCGUAUUACGUUAGUCGUUGUCUACUGAACAGAGGUAGUAUAAGACUUCCGCCUAAAGUUUCCCCUGCUCCACUACACGGAGUUGUGGUUUGGCUUUUCCCUUACCCUUCGUCCUGACCUCCGUCAUGCUCAGUACCUUUACUACUACUCCUGCUGCUGAUACCGUUACCCCCUAUACCAUUGAUACCGCUCCCACUAGACAUACCACUACUCGUGAUACUAGUGAUACCACUACCCCUUAUACUACUGAUACCUCUACUCCUACUGAUACCGAUACCGAUACCGCCACCGCUACCGCUACUACUACUAACCGAUAUUUUAGAUUACUAGAAGUUCAGUACAGUUUUACAUCAACACAAUCUAUAAACUUUGUGAAAUAAUAGAAUACCUGUUUAAACAGAAUCACCUGUUAAAUAGAAUACGUUUUACACCGGAUAGAGUCAAUGAUAAAACAAGACGUAAGCUGUAAACUAUUAAUACCAAUUACGUUAAACCUAC
rnacentral:rRNA from 1 species